rnacentral:rRNA from 1 species
UACGUACGAGGCAAGCGUUAUCCGGAAUUAUUGGGCGUAAAGCGCGCGCAGGCGGACUGUUAAGUAGGGCGUGAAAUCUCCCGGCCUAACUGGGAGGGGUGCCCUAAACUGGCAUCUUGAGGACAGCAGAGGUAGGUGGAAUUCCUGGUGUAGUGGUGAAAUGCGUAGAGAUCAGGAGGAACACCGGUGGCGAAGGCGGCCUACUGGGCUGUCUCUGACGCUGAGGCGCGAAAAGCUCGGGGGAGCGAACGGG